AUUUUACCCUACAUACCAUUGUGCUGUUCUGACAGUCAGAGUUUGUCUUCUUUACACAUCUUCUCUCUUCCUCUCUGUCUUUGUGACUAAAGUUCCAGCAGAAGCCUGAUGCCGGACCCUCACCCACGUGUGCCUGCAGUGUGACGGGGUCGCCCACAUAUGCUGCCUGUGUGGUCACACCGUGCGAGGUGAGCUGUUGAGGGUGAACGCAGGAGGGGACCCCCAGGGGCCCGUGGAGCAGAGAGAUCUGUGGAGAGGGCUGCAAGACAGAGAGCUGGAGGGUGGAGGAGAGCGUGGAGAGAGGGUUGGAGACUCUGACAUCUGUAGAAAAUGAAAAAGUUUCUAAAAUCCAGUGCGUUGACACAGAAAAGGAGCCAUCAUCCAAUACGCUGACAUGAUGUGAACUUUGACCUUUAGCAGUCGUGUCCAGGAACUUCACAGAGACAAAAGAGAGGUCCGGUCCUGCCAGACUAGGAAUCCCUGAAAAUCACAGAAAAACACAGUAUCAGCUGACCUGUGGGCUGGUCAGGACGUCCAGCCAAGUUUCCAGAAACCUCCACAACAAAAGUUCUCCCAGCCUGAACUCUGUCUGCAGGAGACGAGGACACAUUAACUCUGUGAAGAAACGGUCCCUCAGUCCUGUAGAGAGCCACAGUCGCCCGUCCAUCUCCAACAGGCAGAGUCAGAGCACUAAGAGAAAAGAAACAUCCAGAACAAGCUGCAGUGACUGUGCACAGUGGAGGACAAUUGUGAAAUGAUCUUAAAAACUAUUAUUUUCUAAUGUUUUACUAAGAUUGUAUGUGGAAAGAGUAACACAGAGUUUUUGAUCUUCAGUGACAGAAGUAGUGGUUGGAUACUGAAAGUAAAAACGUCCUCGGUGUGUCUCACCUCAGUCUUUGUCUCUGUGACUCUUCACUGGACGACGUGUUGAAACACUCGCUGAAGACCAAACCAUGUUUCAGGUGGUUGCCACACCAACAGCUCUCAAAGGUCAACGCUGCCACCUGGUACCUUCAAGCACAAAUAAUGGAGUGCCUCAGCUGCUGUCUUAUCCAAACUCACCCGUCAUCCAGACACCGCACGGAGCAGAGCAACGGGUCAAGGUCACGGGCUCCUUUGGGGGGAUCAAGCCUGAGAAGAGAGGAGUCGCUUGGGUGGACGCACCCGAGGAACCACGGCAGCCGUCCCUCCCUCUGGCCCCGGGUCUGGGCAGGAGGAUUCCGGGUAAAGCCCCAGCAGAGGCAGCGCUGUUUUCCCGCACCACGUUCUCCGCAUGCACGUUAAACCAGCACGACAGAAGCUGCAGUGAAAGAACAGGUUUAACUAUGAAAGUGUACAUAUGAAAACGUCGGGGCCUGAUUAUAAAGCCCUUUGCUUUAAUUC